GACGAACGCUGGCGGCGUGCUUAACACAUGCAAGUCGAGCGGUAAGGCCCUUUCGGGGGUACACGAGCGGCGAACGGGUGAGUAACACGUGGGUGACCUGCCCUCAGCUCUGGGAUAAGCCUGGGAAACCGGGUCUAAUACUGGAUAUGACUCCAUGACGCAUGUUGUGGGGUGGAAAGCCUUGUGCGGCUGAGGAUGGGCCCGCGGCCUAUCAGCUUGUUGGUGGGGUGANGGCCUACCAAGGCGACGACGGGUAGCCGGCCUGAGAGGGCGACCGGCCACACUGGGACUGAGACACGGCCCAGACUCCUACGGGAGGCAGC
rnacentral:rRNA from 1 species